UACGGAGGGUGCGAGCGUUGUCCGGAAUCAUUGGGCGUAAAGGGCGCGUAGGUGGCUUCUUAAGCGUGCGGUGAAAGCCUGGGGCUCAACCCCGGGUCGGCCGUGCGAACUGGGGGGCUGGAGCACUGUAGAGGCAGGCGGAAUUCCGGGUGUAGCGGUGGAAUGCGUAGAGAUCCGGAAGAACACCGGUGGCGAAGGCGGCGAUCUGGGUCGAUACUGACGCUGAGGUGCGAAAGCGUGGGGAGCAAACAGG
rnacentral:rRNA from 1 species